GACGAACCGUGCGAACGUUGUUCGGAAUCACUGGGCUUAAAGGGCGCGUAGGCGGGCUAUCAAGUCCGGGGCGAAAUCCUCCAGCUCAACUGGAGAACGGCCUCGGAUACUGAUGGUCUCGAGGAGGAUAGGGGCACACGGAACUGUGGGUGGAGCGGUGAAAUGCGUUGAUAUCCAUAGGAACUCCGGUGGCGAAAGCGGUGUGCUGGAUCCUUUCUGACGCUGAGGCGCGAAAGCCAGGGGAGCAAACGGG
rnacentral:rRNA from 1 species